rnacentral:rRNA from 1 species
GAUGAACGCUGGCGGCGUGCCUAAUACAUGCAAGUCGAACGCUGGAACUCUAGCUUGCUAGAUUGAAGGAGUGGCGAACGGGUGAGUAAUACAUAAGCAACCUACCCACGAAGACUGGGAUAAUCUCUGGAAACGGGGACUAAUACCGGAUAGGUAAUCGGAAGGCAUCUUCUGAUUAUUAAAGGUUACAAACACUGGUGGAUGGGCUUAUGGCGCAUUAGUUAGUUGGUGAGGUAACGGCCCACCAAGACGAUGAUGCGUAGCCGGCCUGAGAGGGUGAACGGCCACAUUGGGACUGAGACACGGCCCAGACUCCUACGGGAGGCAGCAGUAGGGAAGUUUCGGCAAUGGGGGAAACCCUGACCGAGCAACGCCGCGUGAGUGAUGACGGCCUUCGGGUUGUAAAGCUCUGUUGUAAGGGAAGAACGGUAGAUAGAGAAUAUCUAAAUGACGGUACCUUACCAGAAAGCCACGGCUAACUACGUG